rnacentral:rRNA from 1 species
AGGGUGAGAAUCCCAAGGCGCUUGAGAGAACUCGGGUGAAGGAACUAGGCAAAAUGGCACCGUAACUUCGGGAGAAGGUGCGCCUCUUGGUGUGGUCACGUGCGUGACUGAGCAUCGAGGGGUCGCAGUAACCUGGCCGCUGCGACUGUUUAUCAAAAACACAGCACUCUGCAAACACGAAAGUGGACGUAUAGGGUGUGAUGCCUGCCCGGUGCUGGGAGGUUAAUUGAUGGGGUCAGCCGCAAGGCGAAGCUCUUGAUCGAAGCCCCAGUAAACGGCGGCCGUAACAAUAACGGUCCUAAGGUAGCGAAAUUCCUUGUCGGGUAAGUUCCACCUGCACGAAUGGCGUAACGACAGCGGCGCUGUCUCCACCCGAGACUCAGUGAAAUUGAAAUCGCUGUGAAGAUGCAGCGUUCCCGCGGCAAGACGGAAAGACCCCGUGAACCUUUACUAUAGCUUUACACUGAACGUUGAGUUCUUCUGUGUAGGAUAGGUGGGAGGCUAUGAAACCAGGACGCUAGUUCUGGUGGAGCCAUCCUUGAAAUACCACCCCGAAGUGCUUGACGUUCUAACCUAGGUCCGUAAUCCGGAUCGGGGACCGUGUAUGGUGGGUAGUUUGACUGGGGCGGUCUCCUCCCAAAGAGUAACGGAGGAGCACGAAGGUACGCUCAGCGCGGUCGGACAUCGCGCACUGUGUGCAAAGGCAUAAGCGUGCUUGACUGCGAGAUCGACGGAUCAAGCAGGUACGAAAGUAGGUCUUAGUGAUCCGGUGGUUCUGUAUGGAAGGGCCAUCGCUCAACGGAUAAAAGGUACUCCGGGGAUAACAGGCUGAUACCGCCCAAGAGUUCAUAUCGACGGCGGUGUUUGGCACCUCGAUGUCGGCUCAUCACAUCCUGGGGCUGUAGCCGGUCCCAAGGGUAUGGCUGUUCGCCAUUUAAAGUGGUACGCGAGCUGGGUUCAGAACGUCGUGAGACAGUUCGGUCCCUAUCUGUCGUGGGCGUUGGAGAUUUGAGGGGGGCUGCUCCUAGUACGAGAGGACCGGAGUGGACGUUCCGCUGGUGUUCGGGUUGUCAUGCCCAUGGCAUUACCCGGUAGCUACGAACGGAAGUGAUAACCGCUGAAAGCACCUAAGCGGGAAGCACGCCCCAAGAUGAGAUCUCCCGAGAGCUUGACUCUCCUAAAGGCACCAUCAAGACUAGGUGGUUGAUAGGCACGGUGUGGAAGUGCAGCAAUGCAUUGAGCUUACGUGUACUAAUGAGCCGUGAGGCUUGACCAA